GAUUGCAUGUUGUAGUGGUUUGAGUGUUUGACUAUAACUCUGGAGACCAGGAUUCGAAUCCCUGCUUAGCCA
rnacentral:tRNA from 1 species